rnacentral:rRNA from 1 species
AACGAACGCUGGCGGCAGGCCUAACACAUGCAAGUCGAGCGAACCCUUCGGGGUUAGCGGCGGACGGGUUAGUAACGCGUGGGAAUAUACCCUUUGGUACGGAAUAGCCUCGGGAAACUGAGAGUAAUACCGUAUGUGCCCUUCGGGGAAAGAUUUAUCGCCAAAGGAUUAGCCCGCGUUGGAUUAGAUAGUUGGUGGGGUAAUGGCCUACCAAGUCUACGAUCCAUAGCUGGUUUGAGAGGAUGAUCAGCAACACUGGGACUGAGACACGGCCCAGACUCCUACGGGAGGCAGCAGUGGGGAAUCUUGCGCAAUGGGCGAAAGCCUGACGCAGCGACGCCGCGUGGAGGAUGACGGCCUCGG